rnacentral:miRNA from 1 species
AACAAUAAUCAAAUGAAAA